AAGACUAGACUUUCAGGGAUCAUGUCUAUAGUUUCCAACUAGAGAGGUGCAUUUGAAAAUGAUCAGUCUCAACAAGCACAAGGAAGAGGUUGAGUGUUUUCUUCCAAGUGGGAAGCAGACAGGAGGUGCUACUUGUGAGUUGGUGCUUCUCUGUCCUUGACCAUACUGCCUUCCUCUUUGGAGAAGGCUGGAGGAAGAGAACACAAUCUGAGUGGU